rnacentral:rRNA from 1 species
GGGUUGUGAGGUUAAGCGACUAAGCGUACACGGUGGAUGCCCUGGCAGUCAGAGGCGAUGAAGGGCGUGCUAAUCUGCGAUAAGCGCCGGUAAGGUGAUAUGAACCGUUAUAACCGGCGAUACCCGAAUGGGGAAACCCAGUGUGAUUCGUCACACUAUCAUUAACUGAAUCCAUAGGUUAAUGAGGCGAACCGGGGGAACUGAAACAUCUAAGUACCCCGAGGAAAAGAAAUCAACCGAGAUUCCCCCAGUAGCGGCGAGCGAACGGGGAGGCGCCCAGAGCCUGAAUCAGCAUAUGUGUUAGUGGAAGCGUCUGGAAAGGCGCGCGAUACAGGGUGACAGCCCCGUACACAAAAGCGCAUAUGCUGUGAGCUCGAUGAGUAGGGCGGGACACGUGGUAUC